ensembl:lncRNA
UGGGGGGUGAGGGAGAGAUGACUAGUUGAAUGACCGUACAGUCUCAACAGAUGUCUCAGCUCCAACUUUUUUUACUCUUGCCCUAUAUCUCACCCUCUCUCUCUCCUUCGUCUUUUUCAGAACCUCUAUUUAUCUCCUUUUUGAUUCUCCCUGUUUUUCUAUCUCUCUCUCUCUCUCCCUCUUCCAGCUGUCUUUUCCGGAUCCUUCUCAGUAGAGUAUGAAUAGAUGGUUUUCUUCAUCAAGAAAACCUCAGAAUGUUUCUGAUUCAUUAAGGAACAAGGAAGGGACACACAACCACCAGAGGCCCCAGCUUUCUUCUGUAUCCUUCUCUCUCUCCCACAUCUCUGUUUCUUCCUCUCUUUCCCCCAUCUCUGUUUCUUCCUCUCUCUCUCUCCUCUCUUCCAUCUUGGCUCUCUGUCAUUGUCGUCAUUUUGUUUUGUCCACAAUGUAAAAUUAUGAAAAUGCACUAACAACUCAGUUAAGUACUUACCCACUAGCAACUAGCAGCUAAAUUAUUUAAAACGAGAGUUUGUCCAUACACCAACAGGUCAAUUGUCUUAAAGAAAUGUAUAGUUAAAAGAUGGUUGUAGCUGAACUGUUAGACUUCAUUGCCGCUGAUCAUUACCUGUUGCAGAACAACUCAUCACCUCAGCCUCAGCAUCAUUCUGUAGCCAGCCUCUUGAAACUCCUUUAUCUCCAGAUCUCAGUGGCCCUGCACAGACUGCAUACACAUUCAGCUUUUCGAUGUAGCAAUAAUACUAUAUAAUUACUGUAGCAACAAAAUGUUCUGAGAAUAGCACAUCUACAAAAUUACAUGUCACGUUGUUUUAGAUGUUUUACAUAAUAUCCAUGUCCUAUCCAUGUCAUUUUAAUUGAAGUUAUUCAGGAUCAGAACCACUUUCCCUGUGUUUUCCUACAGUAUGGUUAAAAGAUGGAGGUGAAGAGGUUACUAAUAGGAAAACUAGUAAUACUAGUCUUAAUUGUAAUUGUAACGUGAACAUAUUGAUUUAAAUACCUUAUAAAGCCCCUAUACACCAAUCAGCCAUUACAUUAUGACUACCUGCCUAAUAUUGUGUAGGUCCCCCUUUUGCCACCAAAACAGCCCUGACCCUUCAAGGCAUGGACUCCACUAGACCUCUGAAGGUGUGCUGUGGUAUCUGGCACCAAGACGUUAGCAGCAGAUUCUUUAAGUCCUGGCACAUUAUCCUGCUGAAAGAGGCCAAUGCCAUCAGGGAAUACCAUUGCCAUGAAAGGUGCACAUGGUCUGCAACAAUGCUCAGGUAGGUGGUACGUGUCAAAGUAACAUCCACAUGAAUGGUUUCCCAGCAGAACAUUGCCCAAAGCAUCAUACAGCCUCCGCUAGGUUGCCACCUUCCCAUAGUGCAUCCUGGUGCCAUGUGUUCUCCAGGUAAGCGACGCACACACACCCAGCCAUCCACAUUAUGUAAAAAAACAUGAUUCAUCAGACUAGGCACCUUCUUCCAUUGUUCCAUGGUCCAGUUCUGAUGCUCACGUGCCCAUUGUAGGCACUUUCUGCAGUGGACAGGGGUCAGCAGGGACACCCUGACUGGACUACGGCUACACAGCCCCAUACACAACAAACUGCAAUGCACUGUUUUCUGACACCUUUCUAUCAGUACCAGCAUUAACAAAUCAAAACUUGCUUAUUGUUGUCUCUCUGUUGGUUCGGUCACUGUCUCACUACUCUCUGGUCCACUCUGUCUCUCUGUUGGUUCAGUCUGUCUCACUACUCUCUGGUCCACUCUGUGUCUCUGUUGGUUCAGUCUGUCUCACUACUCUCUGGUCCACUCUGUCUCUCUGUUGGUUCAGUCUGUCUCACUACUCUCUGGGCCACUCUGUCUCUCUGUUGGUUCAGUCUGUCUCACUACUCUCUGAGGCACAUGGUCUUCGAAAUCUUGCCUGCUGUCUCUCAGCUUGCCCCUCCUCCAGCCCCUCCUCCAGCCCCUCCUCCAGCCCCUCCUCCAGCCCCUCCUCCAGCCCCUCCUCCAGCCCCUCCUCCAGCC